GAUGAACGCUGGCGGCGCGCCUAACACAUGCAAGUCGAACGAUUAAAGCACCUUCGGGUGUGUAUAAAGUGGCGAACGGCUGAGUAACACGUGGGCAACCUGCCCCUUUCAUUGGGAUAGCCACGGGAAACCGUGGAUAAUACCGAAUACUUCGAGACUUCCGCAUGGAAGACUCGAGAAAGCUCCGGCGGAGAGGGAUGGGCCCGCGGCCUGUUAGCUUGUUGGUGGGGUAACGGCCUACCAAGGCAAUGAUGGGUAGCUGGGUUGAGAGACCGACCAGCCAGAUUGGGACUGAGACACGGCCCAGACUCCUACGGGAGGCAGCAGUGGGGAAUCUUGCACAAUGGGCGAAAGCCUGAUGCAGCGACGCCGCGUGCGUGAUGAAGGCCUUCGGGUUGUAAACCGCUUUCAGCAGGGACGAGGCGAAAGUGACGGUACCUGCAGAAGAAGCCCCGGCUAACUACGUG
rnacentral:rRNA from 1 species